CUCUUCAAACAGAAGCUCCUGCAAGGAGGUUAUAUCAGAACACCUGAGCAAAGCCCUGUAGGGCAGCCCCUAUUCAUUGGCAGGCAGUGAGCGCAGUGCUGCACUGUCAGGCUUAGUUCACUGAGAAGGCUACAGCAGGAACCCUUUCCAACCACGGGGAAAGCGUUCAAACAAGUUUGACUGCUUACCCUGGGAAGGUUCCAAAAUACUCCUGGCAUUAUAACCACUACAGCAGGAGUAGGUAUGGUGGUUAUGGUGCUGGAAGUGUCCCUUUAAUUAUCUGGAUGUUGGAAAUUGAUACAUUCUGGCAGCAUACUAGUGGGGAGUGAGAGCAGAGGGUUGUCUCAGGACAGGUGAAUAAAUGAUAAUGCAUAAAUGGCUAAAUGUUUUAUAUAUUUAAAUCAUAAAAAGUUACUCUAAAUUAAUACAUUAAAUAACUAAAAAAACAGAAACAUUGACAGCAUGUGUCCUUGAGUAUAGGGUUUACGAAAUACCAGGUGUUCUGUGUGCCUGCCUUCAACAUGUGGAGCUAGGAAAAUUCAGAUUCCAAUCCAAAUGAGUUUUUUUUUUUUUAUCUAUAGCUACAGUAACUAAUUUUAAUGCAUUUACAUCAUUUUACAUGAAAUGUGGAAUUGUAAACGUGGAAUUGUUUACUAUUGUAAAGCUGUAAUAAUGUACAUAGUGUGAUAUAAAGACACGUGUCUCAUUGAAGAGUUGACAAAGUUUCCUUCAAAUGACUAGAGGCUUUCAUUGAAAAAAUAAUGAUAAGUAAAAUAUGCUUCAACUUACAGGAAUACAAUAGCAGUCAUUAUUAUACUUGCUUUGCUCCUGACAGAAGUCCAUCUGCAGGAAUUUUACACACACAACUAACUGCAUUGUCUGCAGUAAACGCUGCAAGGGAUAGCUCCACAGAAAUACUGAUCCAUAGUAAUUUGUGGUAUCGGACGUAGUAGCUCGAGGGUGGUCAGGAGAUCCAGCUGUUGAUCUGCAUCUUCAGUGACUCUCAGUUGUUUAUCCAAUAAUCCAGCCCAUGCUGGUCAUUUAACAGAUCAUGUGUGACGAAUGUGCUAAGAUGGUGUCACGUGCGUGGGCUAUAGGCCCAGCCGAGACAGUGGGAAGAGUGUGGAAGUGACAGGGUUAAUGACACCAGACCCCUGGUUACCUGUUGCUAGUCCCAGCAACCACUCAAUUAACCCCUGCAAUCCCUUCUACACUAUCCCCCUUAGUACAUACUCUACUGCCACCACCAAGACUUUUAAACCCGGGCGUCUUAGGUUACCCCACACACAGGAGAAUUAUAGUAUCACAGUUCUACUUUUACUGAUAAAACAUAUAUAGUUAUUCCUUUUUGGUAACGUGUUUACCUGAGCUUUCCUCUGGAGAGUGAAGCUCAUAGAGAACAGAGACACAGGCUGAUUAAGUAAACAUUUAAUCUGACAAAAAGGAUUCACAGUGCUGAGUACAAAAUACAGAAAUAAAUGACAUACAGAUAACAAACUGCAAAACAGUACAUAAAAUAAAAUAGGAGAAAACACAAGAAAUUCCUUACAUGUAGUUACCCCAUAUAGAAUUCUUGUGGGAGUCUUAGAUGGUAUAGGUCUCCUAGAAGUUGCUGACAAAAGAAAAAUGAAUAACUGAACUGGAUAGUCCAGCACCCUCAUUAUAUAUCAAACUUAGUUGUUUCUCAGUGGGCAGACCCCUGGGGGGGUAGGGGGGAUCAGAGGGGGUUGGUCUGGCAGUCUAUUGCCCACUCUAUGAAAUUCCUUGUGUCCAGCUCUGGUGAUGGCUAUCUAGAUGUUUUAUGGUCUAGGCCUGGUGCAAGAUCAAAGACCACAAUAAAUGUCAUCCCAAGGUUUACAAAAAACAACUCUUAACAUAUAUAAACACACAUCAAACACCAACUCAUGCUUUUGGCAUGACAGAUGGUAUUAGGCAAUUGGUUUGAGAUUCAUUAUCAUACAUGGUACCCUUCACAGACAUUAGUCCAGUACCAGGGUAUCAUGGUGAAUGGUUGAAUAUUUAAGGCAUGGAGUCCGGGCCAUAUUAAGAGCACAUUGGGCCUGAUGCUGACAAUUAUGAUGGGCCUAAUUAUAGAAUUCCAGAAAAAACUAAAAAAGUUAUACUUCCCAAUCGUCAUGUAUUUGGUGGAGGUGCUGCUGGAUGGAAACUCACAGGAUAUAGCUUUAAGAAAACACAUACCCUAUGCUAAUCUCUCUCUUUCAUCUUUCAAGUAAAUCCAU